AUUGAACGCUGGCGGCAUGCCUAACACAUGCAAGUCGAACGGCAGCAUGGUCUAGCUUGCUAGACUGAUGGCGAGUGGCGAACGGGUGAGUAACGCGUAGGAAUAUACCUUAUAGAGGGGGAUAACCUGGGGAAACUCAGGCUAAUACCGCAUGUUAUCUAAGGAUUAAAGCUGGGGACCUUAGGGCCUGGCGCUAUAAGAAUAGCCUGCGUCCGAUUAGCUAGUUGGUGGGGUAAAGGCCUACCAAGGCGACGAUCGGUAGCUGGUCUGAGAGGAUGAUCAGCCACACUGGGACUGAGACACGGCCCAGACUCCUACGGGAGGCAGCAGUGGGGAAUAUUGGACAAUGGGGGGCGAACCCUCGAUCCAGCAAUGCCGCGUGUGUGAAGAAGGCCUGA
rnacentral:rRNA from 1 species